rnacentral:tRNA from 1 species
GCCAAGAUAGCUCAAGAGGAAGAGCAAAUACUCUAGUAUUUGAUAUAGGUUCAAGUCCUGUUCUUGGCU